ACUGCUUUUGGCCUUUUGGCUAAGAUCAAGUGUAGUAUCCGUUCACAUCAGUUUAAUAUAGGUGCUGAACAACAGUGGGAGAAAAAAUAACUUAAGUUCCUCUUUUAUUAUACUUGAAACAAAA
rnacentral:snRNA from 1 species